rnacentral:rRNA from 1 species
GACGAACGCGGGCGGCGUGCCUAAUACAUGCAAGUCGAGCGAACAGACGAGGAGCUUGCUCCUCUGACGUUAGCGGCGGACGGGUGAGUAACACGUGGAUAACCUACCUAUAAGACUGGGAUAACUUCGGGAAACCGGAGCUAAUACCGGAUAAUAUAUUGAACCGCAUGGUUCAAUAGUGAAAGGCGGUUUUGCUGUCACUUAUAGAUGGAUCCGCGCCGCAUUAGCUAGUUGGUAAGGUAACGGCUUACCAAGGCGACGAUGCGUAGCCGACCUGAGAGGGUGAUCGGCCACACUGGAACUGAGACACGGUCCAGACUCCUACGGGAGGCAGCAGUAGGGAAUCUUCCGCAAUGGGCGAAAGCCUGACGGAGCAACGCCGCGUGAGUGAUGAAGGUCUUCGGAUCGUAAAACUCUGUUAUUAGGGAAGAACAAAUGUGUAAGUAACUAUGCACGUCUUGACGGUACCUAAUCAGAAAGCCACGGCUAACUACGUG